rnacentral:tRNA from 1 species
UACAAUGUAGAGAUGGAUUAACGGCAGCUUCCCAAGCUGCAUACGAGGGUUCGAUUCCCUUCACCCGCUCCA